GUGCCUGGCCCUGUCGCAAGAUUUGUGAGUGUCGGUGUGCGUCUGCCAUCCGGGUGGGGAACGCUCUCCUUUUGCGGAACCAUCUCCUUUACUUUGAAAAAAUUAGUGUUUAAAGCAGGCUUGCGCUAUGAAUACAUUAGCAUGGAAUAAUAAUUUAGGACUUUCGAGGAAUAAAGGA
rnacentral:rRNA from 1 species